rnacentral:rRNA from 1 species
ACGGGUGAGUAACGCGUGGGAACAUACCUUUUGGUUCGGAACAACACAGGGAAACUUGUGCUAAUACCGGAUAAGCCCUUACGGGGAAAGAUUUAUCGCCGAAAGAUUGGCCCGCGUCUGAUUAGCUAGUUGGUGAGGUAACGGCUCACCAAGGCGACGAUCAGUAGCUGGUCUGAGAGGAUGAUCAGCCACAUUGGGACUGAGACACGGCCCAAACUCCUACGGGAGGCAGCAGUGGGGAAUAUUGGACAAUGGGCGCAAGCCUGAUCCAGCCGUGCCGCGUGAGUGAUGAAGGCCCUAGGGUUGUAAAGCUCUUUUGUGCGGGAAGAUAAUGACGGUACCGCAAGAAUAAGCCCCGGCUAACUUCGUGCCAGCAGCCGCGGUAAUACGAAGGGGGCUAGCGUUGCUCGGAAUCACUGGGCGUAAAGGGUGCGUAGGCGGGUCUUUAAGUCAGGGGUGAAAUCCUGGAGCUCAACUCCAGAACUGCCUUUGAUACUGAAGAUCUUGAGUUCGGGAGAGGUGAGUGGAACUGCGAGUGUAGAGGUGAAAUUCGUAGA